rnacentral:rRNA from 1 species
GAUGAACGCUGGCGGCGUGCCUAAUACAUGCAAGUCGAGCGAAUGGAUUAAGAGCUUGCUCUUAUGAAGUUAGCGGCGGACGGGUGAGUAACACGUGGGUAACCUGCCCAUAAGACUGGGAUAACUCCGGGAAACCGGGGCUAAUACCGGAUAACAUUUUGAACCGCAUGGUUCGGAAUUGAAAGGCGGCUUCGGCUGUCACUUAUGGAUGGACCCGCGUCGAAUUAGCUAGUUGGUGGGGUAACGGCUCACCAAGGCAACGAUGCGUAGCCGACCUGAGAGGGUGAUCGGCCACACUGGGACUGAGACACGGCCCAGACUCCUACGGGAGGCAGCAGUAGGGAAUCUUCCGCAAUGGACGAAAGUCUGAGGAGCAACGCCGCGUGAGUGAUGAAGGCUUUCGGGUCGUAAAACUCUGUUGUUAGGGAAGAACAAGUGCUAGUUGAAUAAGCUGGCACCUUGACGGUACCUAACCAGAAAGCCACGGCUAACUACGUGCCAGCCGCCGCCGUAA